UUAAGUGUUUUGGUAUUCAGAUGAUCUAAGUGUGACCUUUUCUGUGCAGAUAAAUGAAUUUGUAAAACUUGGUGGGGACCAACUUGUUCCCUAUUAUGCUGAUAUUCUGGGAGCUAUUUUGCCCUGCAUAUCUGACAAAGAAGAAAAAAUAAGAGUUGUCGCUCAUGAGACCAAUGAAGAACUUCGGGCAAUCAAGGCUGAUCCAGCUGAAGGAUUUAAUGUAGAAGCAAUCUUAUCUAUUGCAAGGAGGCAGUUGUCCAGUGAAUAUGAGGCGACUCGAAUUGAAGCAUUGCACUGGAUUAUGACUCUUCUAAAUAGACAUCGUGCAGAGGUAACCAUGGAAGAAUAGAGCACUUGCCAAUCAGUUCAUGUGCACACUUUUUCUUGGUCU